CCUACGGGGGGCAGCAGUGGGGAAUAUUGCACAAUGGGGGGAACCCUGAUGCAGCGACGCCGCGUGAGUGAAGAAGUAUUUCGGUAUGUAAAGCUCUAUCAGCAGGGAAGAAAAUGACGGUACCUGACUAAGAAGCCCCGGCUAACUACGUGCCAGCAGCCGCGGUAAUACGUAGGGGGCAAGCGUUAUCCGGAUUUACUGGGUGUAAAGGGAGCGUAGACGGUUAUGCAAGUCUGAAGUGAAAGCCCAAGGCUCAACCAUGGGACUGCUUUGGAAACUGGAAAACUGGAGUGCAGGAGAGGUAAGCGGAAUUCCUAGUGUAGCGGUGAAAUGCAUAGAUAUCACACAGAACACCGAUUGCGAAGGCAUCUCACGAAUCCGCGAUUGACGCUGAUGCACGAAAGCGUGGGUAUCAAACAGGAUUAGAUACCCUAGUAGUC
rnacentral:rRNA from 1 species